UUGUGAUUAUUGGAGGUGCAUUUGUCGUGGUAAUGAGUGUUGCCUGGCUUAGAGCUGGAACUGUAUUUGUGAAAGCAACAGUUGUGCUUGAUAGAGGUGCAGUUGUUAUUGGGAAUGCAGUUGUUGUUGCCACUGAAGGAGUGUUCUUGCUUGAUGUUGUUGGAUCAUUAGUUGUUUUAGAUGUGGUUGAUGAAGCUGUAGUUGCAGUCUCUGCUGUUGUACUUUCUGAAGUUGUAGGCAGUGUUGUUGAAGUAGUAGCUGUGGUCUCUGUACUCACAAGUGUGGUUGUUGGAAUUUCGCUAGUUGACAAUCCUUUAGUUGCUGAUGUUGUUACAGGUGCAGUUGUUUCUGAAGAUGUAGGUAUUGUUGUUGAAGUAAGAGUUGUGGAUUCUGAAGUUACAGCUGUUGAUGUUGCUGGAUUGUUUGUUUUUGUAGUU
ensembl:lncRNA